GACAGAGGUGGCAAGCGUUGCUCGGAGUCACUGGGCUUAAAGGGCGCGUAGGCGGUCGUGCACGUCGGGGGUGAAAUCCCCGGGCUCAACCCGGGAACUGCCUUCGAUACGGCGCGGCUAGAGUGCGGGAGGGGAGAGUGGAACUCCUGGUGGAGCGGUGAAAUGCGUAGAUAUCAGGAGGAACGCCGGUGGCGAAAGCGACUCUCUGGUCCGCAACUGACGCUGAGGCGCGAAAGCCAGGGGAGCAAACGGGAUUAGAAACCCCGGUAGUCC
rnacentral:rRNA from 1 species